rnacentral:lncRNA from 1 species
CGGCAGAGAGAUAAUCAGAGAGAGAAAGAAAAAUACAGGCUCACUGUCCGACAGAAAAGCAACCUGAAGAGAGGGGAAGAGAGAGGGAAGUAUUGGAAAUAAAGUUGUCAUACAGCAAAUAUUUUAAUCACGUGUUUUUCAAAGUGGAGAAAGGAUUUUGAACAUGCAUUCAGAUUUUUCUAACGAGGUAAGAUACAUUUAUGUGCAAAGUGUGUUAAGUUUUCUUAUGCUCUUAUAUACAAUUAAUAUGCAUGGAUUAUUAAUGGACCUUUGGGUCCUAGAGAAAGAGAUAUGAUAUUUCUAUGGGAAUUUAAGAGGACCUAAGAUGGGUGUGUCGCUUGGUCACCGAUAUACUCCAUAAGAGAAGAGCGGUAUGAAGUGUAUAAUUUAUUUGUUAUGUAAUUGUGUAUGGAAAUUGCACGUAUCUUAUUGGGUGUUUUUAAAUACUCACUCUUACAUCAAUUUUACAGGUUAGUUCGGGUCGAUUGGAACAGUGGCGCUUUGGUGAUGCGAGUUGCCAAGUGGAUAAAGAAUAGAGAAAAAGAAAUAAGUUUGUUGUUUUAAAUUUACCAGUUAGUUUAAUUUAUUCAGAAUG